AGAGGAAGCCCGGUGCGAAUCCGGCGCGGUCCCGCCACUGUGACCGGGGAGCGACCCCGGGAGCCAGGAACUC
rnacentral:sRNA from 16 species